GCAGUCAGAGGCGAUGAAGGACGUGCUAAUCUGCGAAAAGCGUCGGUAAGGUGAUAUGAACCGUUAUAACCGGCGAUGUCCGAAUGGGGAAACCCAGUGUGAUUCGUCACACUAUCGUUAACUGAAUACAUAGGUUAACGAGGCGAACCGGGGGAACUGAAACAUCUAAGUACCCCGAGGAAAAGAAAUCAACCGAGAUUCCCCCAGUAGCGGCGAGCGAACGGGGAGCAGCCCAGAGUCUGAAUCAGCUUGUGUGUUAGUGGAACGGUCUGGAAAGUCCGACGGUACAGGGUGAUAGUCCCGUACACCAAAAUGCACAGGUUGUGAACUCGAAGAGUAGGGCGGGACACGUGGUAUCCUGUCUGAAUAUGGGGGGACCAUCCUCCAAGGCUAAAUACUCCUGACUGACCGAUAGUGAACCAGUACCGUGAGGGAAAGGCGAAAAGAACCCCGGCGAGGGGAGUGAAAAAGAACCUGA
rnacentral:rRNA from 1 species